rnacentral:lncRNA from 1 species
GCACUGGCCCGUUCUUCAUGGUCCGAUUCUUCCUUCUCUUCUUCUAUAUACCUGAGUACAAUCAAGGUACAACACUUAGGUAGUAUAUAAUUAUCAUUAAUGUUAAAAUGAAUCUCACAAAGUAGCGCGUGGACCUCUUGUUGUAGCUUCUUUGCACGACUACGUGUGAUCGGUCCAUCGAUGACUUGAGCUGGUGUCGGUGUAGGUGAAACUUGAGUGGGUGUAGCUUGACUUGGAGCUUGUGACAUCUUGCUUGGUGGCGUGGUCAUAUCACAAGUUCUCAAGUAGCGGAAGCUUCUUAGUUUGAAAGUAACACACACACAUAUUCAGUUUGAUAGUGCCAUAGUUCAGUCAUUCCCACAAAAGCAAAACAGAAGGUAGAGUGACCAUCGCCCUUGGUCUAGUCAUCGCCCAUUGCUGGGUACAAGCAGAGGAUGCAAUAACCAUAGUACAUUUGACCAUCUGCGAAACAAUAUGGGAAUAGAACCCUGAGUACGAGAAUGUACUCAGCUAGACGUACCCAUCAGAAACCAAGAAUAAAGACUCUUCAAGGAUCAUGAAGGCUGUAUAGUGGGAUAGCUCGAAAAAGGGGCAAGUGCCCGGAACCUCGAAAAGAAAGAAAAAGAGUGAGACAAGAGGUAAAAAUGGACAAGUGUCCGGAGUAGAAUUAGGGGUACAAAGAUGCCCACUUGAGCGGAAAAAAAUGGACAAGUGUCCGACAGUAGAAUUAGGGGUAUCUACUACCCAUCUGGAAAAAAGAGAGAAAAGAAAAAAAGAUAGCCCAUGUUCUCCCAAAGCAAAGAUAAAAGAAGAGGAGAGAUAGCAAUAUUAGGAGCAAUUGGAAGUAAGUUUUAAUAUCACUUAUACAUUUUUACCAUCACUAUCAUUUACUCCACCACACAUGCACAUCUUGAUUUAAUUAUAUGCUGAGUUCCUUUGGAUCCAUGGCUCAAUUAGACAACAUAUGUAUGAGCUGUUUUUCACUCCUAUGAGCUCCAUUUAAAUAUUUCAUUAGCUAUAGGUAAGUGACAUUUGAGUAAGGAUCCACAAAUUCCACAUAUAGAGAGACCUG